AUGGUCCCCAGAGUCGAAGAUCAAGGCCAGCUGCAGCUCGUCGAACGCGAAUACAUCGAGGACGAAGACGACCUCUUCGAAGCCAUCGAUAAGCUGAUUGCUCAGGGAAUCAAUGCCGGAGAUGUUAAGAAGUUCAGGACGCAGGGAUCUACACCUGCAAUGGUUUGAUGAUGCACACAAAGAAGAACUUGACUGGAAUUAAAGGUUUAUCAGAGGCCAAAGUCGAUAAGAUCUGUGAAGCUGCUGAGAAAAUUGUGAACUUUGGAUAUAUUACUGGAAGUGAUGCUCUAAUCAGAAGGAAGUCUGUGAUUCGCAUUACAACUGGGAGCCAAGCACUUGAUGAACUAUUAGGCGGUGGUAUUGAAACUCUAGCCAUCACAGAAUCCUUUGGGGAAUUCAGGUCUGGGAAAACACAGCUUGCUCACACACUCUGCGUAACAACACAGCUUCCUACUAACAUGCAUGGAGGGAAUGGAAAGGUUGCCUACAUUGAUACUGAGGGAACUUUCCGGCCUGAACGAAUCAUACCUAUAGUUGAAAGAUUCGGCUUGGACCCAGGAGCUGUCCUGGACAAUAUCGUUUAUGCUCGUGCUUUUACAUAUGAGCAUCAGUAUAAUUUGCUUCUUGGUCUAGCUGCAAAAAUGGCAGAAGAGCCAUUUAGACUUCUGAUUGUUGACUCAGUGAUUGCUUUGUUUCGUGUUGAUUUUACUGGGAGAGGAGAGCUUGCAGAUCGCCAGCAAAAACUUGCACAGAUGCUUUCCCGAUUAAUAAAGAUCGCUGAGGAAUUCAAUGUUGCUGUCUAUAUGACCAACCAAGUGAUAGCUGACCCUGGUGGUGGAGUAUUCAUAUCUGAUCCAAAGAAACCAGCAGGAGGUCAUAUGCUUGCCCAUGCAGCAACCAUAAGGCUCAUGUUCAGAAAAGGCAAAGGAGAACAGCGUGUCUGCAAGGUGUUUGAUGCCCCAAACCUGCCUGAGGUUGAAGCAAUUUUCCAGAUAACUGCAGAAGGCAUUGCAGAUGCGAAGGACUGAAGAGCAACGCAUUUCUAUGACACAAGAAGCAGCAAACUACCGUAAUAUUUUAAAUUUUCUGCUCUAUAUAUAUUCCUAGUAGGUAGAAGGCAAUGAUA